rnacentral:lncRNA from 1 species
GUCUUUUUUCUUUGCAUAGGUGGUCCUUUGGAGUUCUCUUGUACGAGAUCGUAACGUUCGGCUCACCCCCUUAUCCAAAUAUCGCACUCAGCGGACUUAUUGAAAAAAUCAAGAACGGAUAUCGUAUGUCAAAGCCAGACGGGUGUACGGAUGAAGUCUACGCAGUGAUGACGAAGUGUUGGCAGGCUAUUCCAUCUCAAAGACCAACUUUUUCCGAAAUAUAUUCGACAUUUGACAUAAUGUUACAGAAAGAAACCUCGGACUUUUACUACGUAGGCCUAGACAGCAGUGAACCAACACUUUGAUAAUUGUUCCACGUGAUUUCAUUAUUAAUAUUGGUGAGGUUUAUGACUUUUUGCGACAAAUCAUCCUGAGCCACCCUUGCUGUGACUGGCUGUAGUAAGACUGAUUAAUUUAUGGCCUAAUGUACUUGUAAGUUGUAGUAACGAUAAUAACAGAGGACUGACUCUAUGAAGCUUUCGAUUUGCGCGAUAUGACGUGAGCGUAGAACAAAUUCACUCAUCCGUGACCGUCAAACGUUGUAACAUGCGCUUAUAACUGUCUGUGACGUCAUAAAAUUCCAUCUCUUACCGUCGUCGAGAAAUUGAAAGUCCCCUAGUGUAAUCUCUAGGACUAGCCUCAAGAAACUUACUUCACAGGUAAAAUUUCACGGUGCUUUCUGUUUAGUAUUAAACUAUUGUAUCAAUGCGAUGUAUGUAAUUUGCAUAAUGUUCAUAUAAUAAUUUUUAAUCAGUAGUACUGUAAUACGAAGUAGGAUUUUACGUUGUAGUACGCUGAGAAUAUAGAACAUAUAUUGCAAAUCAAUCGUUUCUUGAUUUUUUAAAAUACUAAGACAUAUGCCAAUAUUACAGCUCUUUUUAGAAUAUUCGAACCUUAUCCGUGUCAAUUAUAAUAAUAAUCUUAGUGCUGUACUGUACCUUCAUUAUACAAGGUAUUGUGUUGUAUAAUGAGAUUGUAAUCAGGGGAAUACAUAGCCUACGAGAUUAAUGGAUAAGCGUCUUUUUGACGUUUUGAAAAUUAAUGGUGUUGCAUCGUGGGAAUACUGUUGCAAAGUGGAAGUUCUUUCUUCUUUUUUUCCCGUAAUUUCUGGAAUUACUGCUUAAAACGUCAAUGCGAUUAUUGUAUUUAGUUCGAUGGAUAUACCGGAUCAUGUUAAAUGUUUAAUAAUCACACACUCUCUAAUGUCUUAAUAAAUAAUUAUGACAUUUGAAAUUAUAAUUUAGGUUUUAUUUAAUAGCAGCUGAACGCCAUUGUGUCAAGUUGGUAAGCAAUUAAAGAAUAUAAUACCUCUUUGUUGAUACAGUCACUUAAUAAAAGCGUAUUGUCAGCGUUUAUAUGUAAGUAGCGAUAUGACACAUAUAGCCUAUUUUCCCAGCCUACAGAGUAAUACAGUAUAUAAGUGCUUAUUGUUAAGAGAAUGACAACCCAUCACAAUUAUGCAUUUUAAUGUCAAAUGAAUCCAUUUUAGUCAUGGUGGGUGGUAAUAAGUCGAUGAGUAUAACAUAAGUGGAAAAAUGCCAAUUGAGUAAUUUCUUUUCCUUUACUCAUUCAAAGUAACGGGUUAGUUUAUUGGACGCUCAUUAUGGCACAUGCGUAUUCUGCCCGUCCUUAUUGGUCAGAUGUUGAGAUGCAUUAAUCUAUUAGUCGAGCAUCACCGAUGGAGGCGACGCAACUACGCGACAGGGUGAUGCAUGGUAUAUGAUUGUAUUAUAAAUAAGUUCUAUUUUUUGGACCAAGGACGCGUGCCACCACAUCUAGUGGAAAUCGGCUUUCAAAGAUAACAACACUGAAUGUUAAGAAAAGAAAAUGAAAACUUGAAUUUCUUACUUUGUCUAUUUAAGUAACUUGUUCGCUUUCAAUUACAAAAUUUAAUGAUAAAACAAAUUGUUAUUACUAU